rnacentral:sRNA from 1 species
CAAGUUGAAAUGGUGUCUAAAUAUUCUCAACAGGACGAGGGAAGAAUUAACCCUCACAGGAUGCAGAAUUUAUCCUCACAGACCUGUAUCUUGACCGUAGUU